UACGUAGGGUCCGAGCGUUGUCCGGAAUCAUUGGGCGUAAAGAGCGUGUAGGCGGUCCGAUUAGUCGGCUGUGAAAGUCCAGGGCUCAACCCUGGGAUGCCGGUCGAUACUGUCGGACUAGAGUCCGGAAGAGGCAAGUGGAAUUCCCGGUGUAGCGGUGAAAUGCGCAGAUAUCGGGAGGAACACCAGUAGCGAAGGCGGCUCGCUGGGGCGUUCCUGACGCUGAGACGCGAAAGCUAGGGGAGCGAACAGG
rnacentral:rRNA from 1 species